CGGGGGAGCAAGCGUUGUUCGGAUUACUGGGCGUAAAGGGCGCGUAGGCGGCGCAACAAGUCACUUGUGAAAUCUCCGGGCUUAACUCGGAGCGGCCAAGUGAUACUGUCGUGCUAGAGUGCGGAAGGGGCAACUGGAAUUCUCGGUGUAGCGGUGAAAUGCGUAGAUAUCGAGAGGAACACCUGCGGCGAAGGCGGGUUGCUGGGCCGACACUGACGCUGAGGCGCGAAAGCCAGGGGAGCGAACGGGAUUAGAUACCCCGGUAGUCCUGGCCUUAAACGAUGGAUGCUUGGUGUCCGGGGUUACAUAGUCCCCGGGUGCCGUCGCUAACGCCUUAAGCAUCCCGCCUGGGGGAGUACGCACGCAAGUGUG
rnacentral:rRNA from 1 species